rnacentral:rRNA from 1 species
CUUUACAUCAAAAUCGCACACGGCAACGCCAGUUCCCGUACGAACACCGAAGUUGAGCAAGAUUGAGUUGAAUUCCUAGUUAGACAGGUGACUUCUUAUAAAUGAAAAUGAUCUAUCGC